rnacentral:rRNA from 1 species
ACUCAAAGGAAUAGACGGGGGCUCACACAAGCGGAGGAGCAUGUUGUUCAAUUCGAAGCAACGCGAAGAACCUUACCUGGGCUUGACAUGCGGGAAGUAGGGACCUGAAAGGGCGACGACCGGUAUCCAGUCCGGAACCCGCACAGGUGCUGCAUGGCUGUCGUCAGCUCGUGUCGUGAGACGUUAGGUUAAGUCCUGUAACGAGCGAAACCCUUGUCGUCUGUUGCCAACGGGUCAUGCCGGGAACUCUGGCGAGACUGCCGGUGUCAAACCGGAGGAAGGUGGGGACGACGUCAAGUCAUCAUGGCCUUUAUGCCCAGGGCCACAAACGUGCUACAAUGGCGGGUACAGAGAGACGCGAGGCCGCGAGGCGGAGCAAAUCUUCAAAACCCGCCCCAGUUCGGAUUGGAGGCUGCAAUUCGCCUCCAUGAAGUUGGAUUCGCUAGUAAUCGCGGAUCAGACACGCCGCGGUGAAUACGUUCCUGAGCCUUGUACACACCGCCCGU